rnacentral:rRNA from 1 species
AUGGCGGGCGCUCUCGCAAUCGCCGCCGCCGCCGGUUCUUACGAUCGCGAUUGGGCGGGGCUGCCGGAGGAAAUACUCCUGAUGUUCAUGCGGGAGCUGGAGAUCCCCGACCUCGUCCGCUCAGGUGCUGUCUGCGCCUCGUGGCAUGCUGUUUACCUAGCCGUCCGCCGACAUCGCUUCCCCCUUCCGAUCCCCCGGAAUCAGCUGCCCUGCCUGCUCUACGCAUGCCGCGAUUCCGCCGCAGACGGCGCCGUCGUCCGCUGCCCCUUCACCGGCCGCCUCAUGUACAACGUCUUCGACAGGGGCGAUCCCGAGCCGACGCCCUUGGACGCGCGCGAGGCCAGGGACUGCAUGUACCACCGUGUCACGCUCUCCUGCAGCCCGUCAGCUGGGAGCGCUUGCAUCGUGCUGCUGGUGCACAUGCCGGUCGGCGAGCUCUCUUAUGCCCGGCUCGGCGACGAGCGGUGGAUGUGGAUCUCCCCCGACGACCACCAGCUCAUGAGCAUCAGCUGGGGCUUCAUGGACUCUUUCUAG